UUAUUAGAUAAAUACGGAUUAUAUUGAUUACAAUUGGUUAAUCAAUUAUCUUAUCUUGUAGACUAUUUGCACUAUGUAUUUAAACUGUGUCUCAGAACAAAAACGUGAAUAACGAUUUCAAGUGGUCACUCUGGCAUAUUUAUAAUCAUGAAGAACUUCAUUGUCAUCGCACUGUUGUCAACCUUGUCAGUCUGCCUAGGCGCAGUUGUACAGAAUGCCCAAUUUCCCAUAAACGUAGGAGUUUUGGAACCCGGAGAUUAUGUUAUGGUAAGAGGCGGGAAUCGGGGCAACCCACAACCUAAUUCUGUAAGCCAAGUAACUGUGCGACAUCAAUUACAUCCUAAAUACAAGGUUAAUAUGGUUAAGUUCCUCGAUCAAGCUCCAGAAACAGGAGGCUUUAUUUCAUUCGUGGGAGGAAUUGGAACUAAUUUUGUUACCUUUGUAUUUACGUCUCAGAGAGGUGGGGGAUACAAUUUUACUUAUCAGCUGUGGGGACAUGACAUAACAGGGGCAGACGGUUUGCGUUCCCUAGAGCCUUCAGAAUGUACUAUGACAGUGGAUGAUGGAAAAACUGUCCAAACUUAUUAUUGCAAUGAAAUGAUUCACUGAAGUCAACAGAUUGUACAAUAAUUAUUGGAGUCAAAUAAAUUGUUCAUUAAUUA